rnacentral:tRNA from 1 species
AGCCCCAUGGUCUAGUGGUCAAAGAUUCAUCCCUUUGGAGGAUGAGACCCAGGUUCGAAUCCUGGUGGGGCUA